rnacentral:lncRNA from 1 species
GGGAUCAAGGGCUACUAAUAUGCUUGAGGAAUAUGUUAGGUAUUCUGAAUCAAUAAAAUUUCUCUUACAUGUAUUUUAAGCCAAAUCUAAUCCAAAAUACAGUAAAAUGACAAGCAAAUAAAUAAGACACACAUAUGGACUCACUUGGUAAAGGAAUGGUCAUGACAUCAACACUAGUGUUAGUGGUGAUACUAAACAACAAUCAGAUGCAACUAAAUGAGGUCUUAUGAAAAAUUUUCUACUCUUAUUCUUCUAGCAUGUUAGUAGUGAUUCUGGAAAGAAAUCAUUCCGAUUAGAAUAGCUCAGAAAGCCACAAAAUGGGGUUCGAAGCUGGAGUCACACCAAAGGAGAAAAAGGUCAAUUGCAAGACUCAAACAGCCGACAUAAGGAAUGGAUAUAGGGAAUUUAAACAAGACCACCAAGCCCCAAAAUAGUGCAUGAUCAAUGAACAUUCCCAAUCCACAAUAUUCAUUUCAAAUGGGAUGACUACAGGAAGCAAGAAAACUACGCAAUACUGAGAAAUAGGCAAACAUUAUAACACGAUGAACUACCAAAGUUUCAAUUGAAACAACCAAAGCUAAAUAUAUCACAGCAUAACGCAAAAUGGUGAAAACUCUAGAAUUGGAAUAUGUCAGUAUAAAGUCUCUGAAAAUUAGCAGUCAGAAGUUUACACCUACAGGAGCCUCAAAUUGAGCAUCUAUUAGCAACCAGCAAGUGAUCUUGCUAUAAUAGAAAGAUAACUAGAGAAAACAAUUUUCAAGAGAAGCAAGAUAUGCACAAUGUGACCAAUGAUUCAGCAUAGACACAUUUAUUGUCAAACAACUCAAAUAUCAACACAUUUAUGGUCAAACAAAUCCAUUUUUCUGGAUAUUUUAUUAAGCAACGCCCAGCAUUUGAAUUGAUCAAACUGCAAUCCAAACCUUCUAAUGGUGAAUAACUUUAAAUAAUCAAUGCUUGCACAGGCCUAAAUUAACACUGCAAUUAAGCAAAUCGAAAAAUUACAUUACAAAUCAACCACUAUCCUAAUCAUAUUAC